rnacentral:rRNA from 1 species
UACGUAGGGGGCAAGCGUUGUCCGGAAUCACUGGGCGUAAAGAGCGCGCAGGCGGUCGUCCAAGUCGCGUGUGAAAGCCCCCGGCUCAACUGGGGAGGGUCACGCGAUACUGAUCGACUCGAAGGCAGGAGAGGGAAGUGGAAUUCCCGGUGUAGUGGUGAAAUGCGUAGAUAUCGGGAGGAACACCAGUGGCGAAGGCGACUUCCUGGCCUGUUCUUGACGCUGAGGCGCGAAAGCUAGGGGAGCAAACGGG